CCUACGGGUGGCUGCAGUGGGGAAUAUUGGACAAUGGGCGAAAGCCUGAUCCAGCCAUGCCGCGUGUGUGAAGAAGGCCUUCGGGUUGUAAAGCACUUUCAGUGGGGAAGAAAGCCUUGGGGCUAAUACCCUCGAGGAAGGACAUCACCCACAGAAGAAGCACCGGCUAACUCCGUGCCAGCAGCCGCGGUAAUACGGAGGGUGCGAGCGUUAAUCGGAAUUACUGGGCGUAAAGCGCGCGUAGGCGGUCUGAUAAGCCGGUUGUGAAAGCCCCGGGCUCAACCUGGGAACGGCAUCCGGAACUGUCAGGCUUGAGUGCAGGAGAGGAAGGUAGAAUUCCCGGUGUAGCGGUGAAAUGCGUAGAGAUCGGGAGGAAUACCAGUGGCGAAGGCGGCCUUCUGGUCUGACACUGACGCUGAGGUGCGAAAGCGUGGGUAGCAAACAGGAUUAGAUACCCCAGUAGUC
rnacentral:rRNA from 1 species